GUUUUGGUAUUGUAAUGGUAGUAGCACGCGUCCCCGGCAUGGGUGAAACGCGGGUUCGAUUCCCUCCUGAGGCC